rnacentral:rRNA from 1 species
AUACAGAGGUCCCUAGCGUUGUUCGGAUUUACUGGGCGUAAAGCGUGCGUAGGUGGUUGUUUAAGUCUGUCGUGAAAGCCCUGGGCUCAACCUGGGAAUGGCGAUGGAAACUGGGCGACUAGAGUGUGGCAGAGGGUAGUGGAAUUCCUGGUGUAGCAGUGAAAUGCGUAGAGAUCAGGAGGAACAUCCGUGGCGAAGGCGACGGCCUGGGCCAACACGAACAAGCAGAGACGAAAGCGUGUGGAGCAAACAGGAUUAGAUACCCCCGUAGUCCACGCCCUAAAAGAUGCGAACUGGUUGUUGGGUGGAAUUUGGCACGCAGUAUCGAAGCUAACGCGUUAAGAGCGCCGCCUGGGGAGUACGGUCGCAAGACGGUAACUCAAAGGAAUUUACGGGG